CGGACGGGUGAGUAACACGUGGGUAACCUACCUAUAAGACUGGGAUAACUUCGGGAAACCGGAGCUAAUACCGGAUAACAUUUAGAACCGCAUGGUUCUAAAGUGAAAGAUGGUUUUGCUAUCACUUAUAGAUGGACCCGCGCCGUAUUAGCUAGUUGGUAAGGUAACGGCUUACCAAGGCGACGAUACGUAGCCGACCUGAGAGGGUGAUCGGCCACACUGGAACUGAGACACGGUCCAGACUCCUACGGGAGGCAGCAGUAGGGAAUCUUCCGCAAUGGGCGAAAGCCUGACGGAGCAACGCCGCGUGAGUGAUGAAGGGUUUCGGCUCGUAAAACUCUGUUAUUAGGGAAGAACAAAUGUGUAAGUAACUGUGCACAUCUUGACGGUACCUAAUCAGAAAGCCACGGCUAACUACGUGCCAGCAGCCGCGGUAAUACGUAGGUGGCAAGCGUUAUCCGGAAUUAUUGGGCGUAAAGCGCGCGUAGGCGGUUUCUUAAGUCUGAUGUG
rnacentral:rRNA from 1 species